ACCUAUCUGUUGGGGUGCCUUUCGGGGCUGAGAUGCAUAUCGCGAACCCAUUGAACCUGAACCGGUUAGGACCGGCGGAGGAAACAGAAUUUGGGUCUUU
rnacentral:ncRNA from 2 species